AACGAACGCUGGCGGCAUGCCUAACACAUGCAAGUCGAACGAGACCUUCGGGUCUAGUGGCGCACGGGUGCGUAACGCGUGGGAACCUGCCCUUAGGUUCGGAAUAACUCCCCGAAAGGGGUGCUAAUACCGGAUAAUGUCUUCGGACCAAAGAUUUAUCGCCGUUGGAUGGGCCCGCGUUGGAUUAGCUAGUUGGUAGGGUAAAAGCCUACCAAGGCGACGAUCCAUAGCUGGUCUGAGAGGAUGAUCAGCCACGCUGGGACUGAGACACGGCCCACACUCCUACGGGAGGCAGCAGUGGUGAAGAUUGGACAAUGGGCGAAAGCCUGAUCCAGCAAUGCCGCGUGAGGGAUGAAGGCCUUAUGGUUGUAAAGCUCUUUUACCCGGGAUGAUAAUGACAGUACCUGGAGAAUAAGCUCCGGCUAACUCCGGGC
rnacentral:rRNA from 1 species